rnacentral:misc_RNA from 1 species
GAAAUGCGAUACGCAAUGCGAAUUGCAGAAUUCCGCGAGUCAUCAGAUCUUUGAACGCAGAUGGCGCUGGCCUAGCCGCCAGCAUGCUUGUUUCAGUGUGCUAGGAAUCACACAGUUCAAUGCGAUUGACGGGUGGUGCAAGGAGGAUCUCGGUCCCCCUCGCCCCCCCCUUCUCUCGUUAAACACGGUGGCGCCGAGCUCAUAGCGCGGCCCGAACGAAGUAGUCACUUCAUCCGAAAGUGAUCCUCGUUUCGGGGUACCGGCGGGCUCACUCAAAGGCGUUUAUUUUCCACGAAAACGUUGUUCUACCCUUCGGGAUACGACAACUCACCAUUUCUCCACAACACCUGAAAUCACGCAAGAUCACCCGCUGAACUUAA